rnacentral:rRNA from 1 species
GAUGAACGCUGGCGGCGUGCCUAAUACAUGCAAGUCGAGCGAACAGACGAGGAGCUUGCUCCUCGGACGUUAGCGGCGGACGGGUGAGUAACACGUGGAUAACCUACCUAUAAGACGGGGAUAACUUCGGGAAACGGGAGCUAAUACCGGAUAAUAUAUUGAACCGCAGGGGUCAAUAGAAAAAGACGGUGUUUGUGGCACGAAUAGAGGGUUCCGAGCCGUAUUAGGUAGUUGGUAAGGUAAAGGCUUACCAAGGCAACGAUGCGUAGCCGACCGGAGAGGGUGGUCGCCCACACUGGAACUGAACCACGGUCCAGAGUCCUGCGGGAGGCAGCAGUAGGGAAUGUUCCGCAGUAGGCGAAAGUCUGACGGAGCGGCGCCGCGUGAGUGAUGGCGGUCUUCGGAUCGUAAAGAUCUGUUAUGAGUGAAAAACAAAUGUGUAAGUAACUAUGCACGUCUUGACGGUACCUAGUCAGAAAGCCACGGCUAACUACGUG